rfam:Oryza glumipatula chromosome 1, whole genome shotgun sequence.
AAAAAGGCAAACCUUGGAUUUCCGUGUCCAACGUUUGAUUAUUCGUCUUAUAUGAAAUUUUUUUUAUAAUUAGUAUUUUCAUUGUUGUUAGAUGAUAAAACAUGAUUAAUACUUUAUGCGUGACUUGUCUUUUUAAUUUUUUUCAUAUUUUUUUUAAAUAAGACGAACAGUCAAACGUUGGAUAUGAAAAGCUAUGGUUUGUCUUUUU